UGAGGAAUUUUGCGCAAUGGGGGAAACCCUGACGCAGCAACGCCGCGUGGAGGAUGAAGUCCUUCGGGACGUAAACUCCUUUCGAUCGGGACGAUAAUGACGGUACCGAGAGAAGAAGCCCCGGCUAACUUCGUGCCAGCAGCCGCGGUAAUAUGAGGGGGGCGAGCGUUGUUCGGAAUUAUUGGGCGUAAAGGGUGCGUAGGUGGUUUGGUAAGUUUCGUGUGGAAACUCUGGGCUUAACUCAGAGCCUGCACGAAAAACUGCCGGGCUUGAGUAUGGGAGAGGUGAGUGGAAUUCCUGGUGUAGCGGUGAAAUGCGUAGAUAUCAGGAGGAACACCUGUGGCGAAAGCGGCUCACUGGACCAUAACUGACACUGAGGCACGAAAGCUAGGGGAGCAAACA
rnacentral:rRNA from 1 species